AUUGAACGCUGGCGGCAGGCCUAACACAUGCAAGUCGAACGGUAGCACAGAGAGCUUGCUCUCGGGUGACGAGUGGCGGACGGGUGAGUAAUGUCUGGGAAACUGCCCGAUGGAGGGGGAUAACUACUGGAAACGGUAGCUAAUACCGCAUAACGUCGCAAGACCAAAGUGGGGGACCUUCGGGCCUCACACCAUCGGAUGUGCCCAGAUGGGAUUAGCUAGUAGGUGGGGUAAUGGCUCACCUAGGCGACGAUCCCUAGCUGGUCUGAGAGGAUGACCAGCCACACUGGAACUGAGACACGGUCCAGACUCCUACUGGAGGCAGCAGUGGGGAAUAUUGCACAAUGGGCGCAAGCCUGAUGCAGCCAUGCCGAGUGUAUGAAGAAGGCCUUCGGGUUGUAAAGUACUUUCAGUGGGGAGGAAGGCGGUGAAGUUAAUAGCUUCACCGAUUGACGUUACCCGCAGAAGAAGCACCGGCUAACUCCGUGCCAGCCGCCGCCGUAA
rnacentral:rRNA from 1 species